CACGACAGUUCGUUCAUACCCACCAUGCACCGCUUCCCUUUCUCCUUCCUGGGGAUGGUUUCAUAAGUAACCUGGAAGAGGGAGAGGGUGCAGGGGUCAGAGCGGGCGAGUGGCUAUGGACCUCGACGAUGCCGUAUCGAGUUCGACCCCCGUCCUCGGUUCCUUAGCCGCAUGCUUUACCAGGCCCUACUUUCUGCACUCUUUCUGUGUAAUUACUGUCAAAUAAAAGCCACUAAUGUCGAAAAAAAUCUUUAGAAAAAAAACAGUGAAGAAAUAUAUCGUUUUUUUGGGUGGCCAUAUACGACAGCUCAAACAUGGAUGCUAACAAUUUAGCUAGCGCCCUUUAAUUUGACCACAUUAAUUCAGUGGCAGAAGAGCCCACAUUACGAAAUAACUGGUUUUAACACCAUGACCAGAGGCAGUUGUCCUUUUAACAUAAAUGUAACUUUUUAUUUUUAGGUUUAUACUUCCUCAUUUAAGUUUUUAGGAAAUUGUAAUUACUAAUCCUUGACAUCCUGUUUCACAUGGUUGUCAGAGGUCAUUUCCUGUUUGCACUGGCCAUUAAGCUACUAGAUGAAGUUUUUAAUUCUGUCAACAGCCAGCAGGCAGGAGUUAACAAAAAUCUGAAAAAAGAAAGUAGCAGCAGAAAAAUUUGCCAUUUUGGGGUGGUCACAAAGUCUCCAUGACAAGGAGUACAUGCCAUGUACUUUCCAAUUGUCAUUUAAAGAAGCAUACAAGGAAAAAAAAAACUUUAUUCCAGUAAACAGAUUAGAAAAGUCUUAUGUUUAUGAUGGUAGGACAAACACGAUUUUGAAAUAAGGGAUGAAUGUGUGGAAAAGCACCGUAUGCCCUCUGUAUGUAUGGUACUGGAUCCUUUAUGCCACGGACAUAUCUGCGUUGCAAAGAGCCGUGUUCUUGUGAAUAAUGUUAUGAUGUUGAAUAUAAAAGCAUUAACAAUAUAAACAGAAAGCGACUCAUGUUUGGGUCUUUGGGCAAAGUAAUAAAGCAACCAAGUCAAACACAAAAAUAAUUUACUCGACACACAGUCAUCCUCCUUCCACUGCCGUCUGAGCCUUCUGACUUGAACCUUAGAUACAAAAACCCCCCACAAAACUAAAACUUUGGGCUGAGCUGAAGGGAGAGUAAAAGAAGAUGAAAUCUCUAAUGACCAACAAACUGACGUGAUGUACGACAACA